CGCUCGGGGAUCUCCUCCACUCUAUUCAAGCAAGCAGCAGGAGGAGCACGAAGAGGAGGAGGAGGAGGAGGAGAUGCGCAGCUCAGAGGAAAACUCGCUCCAGGGUCUCUGCGUUCUCGAGGCUGCACGAGGUGAUGGAGAGGCAGCUUGGAUUGCCGGUGCGUUGGAUGCUACGGGGAUGUAACCCAUAAAACUUCUUUCUCUCAGCCCGGUGACUUGGGCAAAUGGGCACUUGGACCCUGUUUUAGGGUCCAUACUAACUAUUUUCGUACCAAGAGGAGAGAAAGAGAGUCGAGGAGUCCCAUUAGAGGGAAAGCAUUCGCCACCGGAAUCACCAUUCUUUAUGGCAAAGCCCAUGGAUGCAGGUUCAGAAGCGUUUCUUCAAGUACUCACUUGUGCAUGCAGAACCAUGCAGAACAGCCCACGAGUGAGUGAGUGUCAAAGCGUUGAAUUUAUCUUGUCGCUGACAUCUCUGGUUAGCCAGAUAAAAACUGCAUGGUGCCUGGUGCCAUCACCCCGUCGUCUGCUGCAUCAUGCUUGGUUUCGAUCUAUGUAUGGUACGGUCGUUGUCGGGAGAGUUCGUUGUUGCAUGAUGUGUUCUCCGUCCGACCAAAUUUAUGCUGGACCCAGGCCGUUUCUGACACAAUGUGAUUACCGGAUAUCUAAAACGGUGGGGGCCUCCACGUCCGUUGUCCCCCUUUCCAACGUUCAGGGUGGAAAGAUGCUGGGAUGACAUUUACCUUCAUCUUGUUCACGUGAUGAUACAACAAUCCUUCGUUGUUUGGUCUUGAGCGACGAUGUUGUCUCGGAGGAAAUGCAAACACGGAUGUCUUCCCCAACAUUUCAAUGAACUCGUUCGCAGCCACGGGCCAUUAUGACGGAACUAGAGAUGGUCGUACCACGUACAUGGAGAGUGAACCACCGGACCAACCAACCAACUACACAAACGAAAACGGAGAAGAGCAGAGGAAAGACAAGAGAAAGAGGAUGGGCGAUGAGUGAGGAGAAAGCGAACGACAAAAGGAGAGAGAGAGAGAGGUGGUCGACAUAUCAUCCAUCUAUUAGCCCAGGGACCCCUCGAACAUUCAAACAGCUUAACCAUCCACCCCCCUAGAGAAAAUUACUAUUUGUUUUGCCAACUAUGCAUCUCUUUACAAUGGACAUAGACGACAAGCUCAUUGUCGAGAUCGAGAGGGAAGUUUGCCGAUGGCACGGAAUGAAGGGCAACGUUCGACGAAAAACGGGGAUAUUGAUCCAAUGGUCGAGGCUACCAUUGCUCUUUGAGUGUUUGAGAUUCAAUUUGGAUGAACCUUCAUAUGCAGAUCAACUUGUUAUGCGUUAGACGAUAUCAAUCCGUGGACAUUGCACACACAGAAAGUGACUUGUGUGGGCGAUGAUUCUCAAUUGAAUAUUGAUGAAAGCAUCCAAGCGGAGACGAUUCUCGAAAAUUGCUUGUCGGCUAUCAAUUCAUGAUUUAUUGUUUGUUUCAUAGGAGGAUCCUCAACGAGAAUCGCCGAGCACACUCAGACUGAAAGCCAGCUAGCUAUUGUAGAGGAACAUCAAUGAGUGAGUGAGUGAGUGAGUGAGUGAGUGAGUGAGUGAGCACUACUAGUAAUCAUGUCAAUCAUUCAUUCGAAAAUUAUGGCUUGGAUUUGUCAGCACUACUCCAUGAUCCGGAUCUUUGGCUCCGACAGAUCGACAAUCCCGACAACGAGGAGGGAAAACAACAGGAUUUUUCUAAAACAUCGGAAUGCUGACAACGGCGGUCCUGGGAAAGUUUCGUUGGGGGCCAGAUUUUCCGCCAAAUCACGACAUUCGCCGUAUUCAAUGACGUCUAAGGCUGAGAAAUUUUGAAACAUCAGAAAGCAUGUGACAAGAGGAACACAUUCCCAGGAGGGAAAGCCGAAUGAGGCCAAUACUACCCACUGCACCUUCGUCGACGGAUCAGUUUCAACAAAUUUUACAUAUUUCUCCCAUCAACCUCAGACAGACUCAAAUAUCUCGCUCGUACGGAAGGCCCUGUGAAUCGAGAUCCAUGAACUCUGAGGCUAUCCUAAAAGCUUAGCCAUCCAAACCAAUCUUGAUUGCAUUGGGAAUGGUUGGAUCUUCAGAGUGUCGAGAAUCGCACAUUUAGGGAUGAGAAUCUGGCGUUGAAUGAGCGUCUGCCGUCUGUGUACACACAUUCAUUUCUGUAUGGAUCUAAAGCCAACCUUGUCCGUCCACCCGUCCGUCCAUCCAGUGAGUGUGAAGGCGAAGAACAGACUCACAUAUACCGGGCAAAUAUCAGUUCUUUUGAUCUGUAAACCAACCGUUUCCAACGAACUUUUCCACCUCUCCAACAGAUGAUCAUAUCAAUGCAAGAAACCCUCGGACCAGACAGACGCAUAUCACCAGACCUUUGACAAAGGGAAUGAAUUCCUUCUCGGCAUAUUCUCUAACAUAAUUGCUGUACCAACCCUUGACAAACGCUACAUGUAUAACCGGACCUAUAACGCUAACAGCAUGGAUAUUACUUUAUUUAACAUUUACCAAAAUGGAGGUUCAUUUGAAAGGCAAGGAAAAGAGAAAGAGGCGGGGGAUGGAACUCGAGGAAGGCGACGGAGGGAGAUUUGGUGCUGAUCAAGAGUUCACACCUCGCCGCUUGUUGGCUACUUUCCUGCUCUCUGAUUGGUCGAACGAGGCGUGAGAUUUGACACUUGCUAAGGAGGAGCACGAUGCUGAUUGGAGGACAUCAUCUUGGUUGGAUUGGAUGAUCAAGAUGAUAAGUCUAAGAGCAAUGGAGGAGGGCUAUCUAGCCAAAAGGAGGGCGCUGUU